rnacentral:rRNA from 1 species
CGGGGGGAGCAAGCGUUGUUCGGAUUUACUGGGCGUAAAGGGCGCGUAGGCGGCCACCGCAAGUCGACUGUGAAAUCUCCGGGCUUAACCCGGAAAGGUCAGCCGAUACUGCGGGGCUAGAGUGCAGAAGGGGCAACUGGAAUUCUCGGUGUAGCGGUGAAAUGCGUAGAUAUCGAGAGGAACACCUGCGGCGAAGGCGGGUUGCUGGGCUGACACUGACGCUGACGCGCGAAAGCUAGGGGAGCGAACGGGAUUAGAUACCCCGGUAGUCCUAGCCUUAAACGAUGAAUGCUUGGUGUCUGGGGUUUUAUAGUCCCCGGGUGCCGUCGCUAACGCUUUAAGCAUUCCGCCUGGGGAGUACGGUCGCAAGACUG